CAAGUCGCACGAGAAAGGGGGCAACCCCGAGUAGAGUGGCGCACGGGUGCGUAACACGUAGGCAAUCUUCCCUCAGGAGGGGGAUAACCAUCCGAAAGGAUGGCUAAUACCGCGUAAGACCACAGUUGCUUCGGCAACAGGGGUCAAAGGGGGCCUCUCCAUGGAAGCUCUCACCUGAGGACGAGCCUGCGGCCCAUCAGCUAGUUGGCAGGGUAAUGGCCUACCAAGGCUAAGACGGGUAGCUGGUCUGAGAGGAUGAUCAGCCACACUGGCACUGAAACACGGGCCAGACUCCUACGGGAGGCAGCAGUGGGGAAUAUUGGACAAUGGGCGAAAGCCUGAUCCAGCGACGCCGCGUGGGUGAUGAAGGCCUUCGGGUUGUAAAGCCCUGUGGGCAGGGAAGAAAACGGCGAGUUCAAAUAGGACUUGUCCUUGACGGUACCUGCUCAGAAAGCACCGGCUAACUCUGUGCCAGCAGCCGCGGUAAGACAGAGGGUGCAAACGUUGCUCGGAAUUACUGGGCGUAAAGCGCGUGUAGGCGGAUCGGUGUGUCGGGUGUGAAAUCCCUGGGCUCAACCCAGGAACUGCAUUCGAAACUACCGGUCUAGAGUGGUGGAGAGGGAAGUGGAAUUCCUGGUGUAGAGGUGAAAUUCGUAGAUAUCAGGAGGAACACCAGUGGCGAAGGCGGCUUCCUGGACACCAACUGACGCUGAGACGCGAAAGCGUGGGGAGCAAACAGGAUUAGAUACCCUGGUAGUCCACGCUGUAAACGAUGGGCACUAGGUGUCGCGGGUUUUGACCCCCGCGGUGCC
rnacentral:rRNA from 1 species